GAUGAACGCUGGCGGCGUGCCUAACACAUGCAAGUCGAGCGAUCUUCUUCGGAAGUGAGCGGCGGACGGGUGAGUAACGCGUGGGUAACCUGCCCUGUACACACGGAUAACAUACCGAAAGGUAUGCUAAUACGAGAUAAUAUGCUUUUAUCGCAUGGUAGAAGUAUCAAAGCUCCGGCGGUACAGGAUGGACCCGCGUCUGAUUAGCUAGUUGGUAAGGUAAUGGCUUACCAAGGCGACGAUCAGUAGCCGACCGGAGAGGGUGAUCGGCCACAUGGGAACUGAGACACGGUCCAAACUCCUACGGGAGGCAGCAGUGGGGAAUAUUGCACAAUGGGCGAAAGCCUGAUGCAGCAACGCCGCGUGAGCGAUGAAGGCCUUCGGGUCGUAAAGCUCUGUCCUCAAGGAAGAUAAUGACGGUACUUGAGGAGGAAGCCCCGGCUAACUACGUGCCAGCCGCCGCCGUAA
rnacentral:rRNA from 1 species